rnacentral:rRNA from 1 species
AUUGAACGCUGGCGGCAGGCCUAACACAUGCAAGUCGAACGGUAACAGGAAACAGCUUGCUGUUUCGCUGACGAGUGGCGGACGGGUGAGUAAUGUCUGGGAAACUGCCUGAUGGAGGGGGAUAACUACUGGAAACGGUAGCUAAUACCGCAUAACGUCGCAAGACCAAGAGGGGGACCUUCCGGCCUCUUGCCAUCGGAUGUGCCCAGAGGGGAUUAGCUAGGAGGUGGGGUAACGGCUCACCUAGGCGACGAUCCCUAGCUGGUCUGAGGGGAUGACCAGCCACACUGGAACUGAGACACGGUCCAGACUCCGACGGGAGGCAGCAGUGGGGAAUAUUGCACAAUGGGCGCAAGCCUGAUGCAGCCAUGUCGCGUGUAUGAAGAAGGCCUUCGGGUUGUAAAGUACUUUCAGCGGGGAGGAAGGGAGUAAAGUUAAUACCUUUGCUCAUUGACGUUACCCGAGAAGAAGCACCGGCUAACUCCGUGCCAGCCGCCGCGGUAA